AGAUGCGCCUUCUGUUCCGCGGUGCCAACCGUUGCAGCCAGUAGGCAAGCUUGCGGCUCCAGACAGAUACGCAUAACCAGAAAGUGAUCGAUGACCUGAUGAAAGUUCUCUUCUGUCAUCCACCAGGUAAGCAAUUCCUGAUCAAGAAAAUUCCAGUUUGAUUGUGGCAUGACCCGGGUACCAAUUCGCGGUCGCGGUAAAACCAUCCCUUUUGCCGUUAACGUUUUGACCGCUUCGCGUACCGCUGUACGACUCACUCCAAAUUGCUCGCCCAGCUCAAUCUCACCAGGCAAAAUGGUGCCGGGUUCAUAUUCACCUUUUAAGAUGCGUUGCGCCAGCUUCUCAGCCAGAACAUACGAAAGGUUUUUCUGUGCAGCUAACUGUUGUGCGCUUAAAGGCAUUACUAAUCUUCCUUUUUCUUUUUAUUCCUCCUUAGUAUGCCACCAGGAAGUGUGAUUACGGUUGCAAAAACGGCAAAUUGCUUGUUUUAUGGCACAUUAACGGGGCUUUUGCUGAAAAAAUGCGCGGUCAGAAAAUUAUUUUAAAUUUCCUCUUGUCAGGCCGGAAUAACUCCCUAUAAUGCGCCACCACUGACACGGAACAACGGCAAACACGCCGCCGGGUCAGCGGGGUUCUCCUGAGAAUUCCGACAGAGAAAGCAAAAAUAAAUGCUUGACUCUGUAGCGGGAAAGCGUAUUAUGCACACCCCGCGCCGCUGAGAAAAAGCGAAGCGGCACUGCUCUUUAACAAUUUAUCAGACAAUCUGUGUGGGCACUCGAAG
rnacentral:rRNA from 1 species